AGGUUACUGCUAUCGAGGUUCGACUAAGCCAUGCGAGUCGAAUGUAGCAAUACAUGGCGUACUGCUCAGUAACACGUGGACAACCUACCCUUAGGCCUGGGAUAACCCCGGGAAACUGGGAAUAAUACCGGAUAUAUCGCGAAUGCUGGAAUGCGUCGCGAUAGAAAGCUCCGACGCCUAAGGAUGGGUCUGCGGCCUAUCAGGGUAGUAGUGGGUGUAAUGUACCUACUAGCCUACGACGGGUACGGGUUGUGAGAGCAAGAGCCCGGAGAUGGAUUCUGAGACGCGAAUCCAGGCCCUACGGUGUGCAGCAGGCGCGAAAACUUUACAAUGCUGGCAACAGCGAUAAGGGGACCUCGAGUGCCAGGAUACAAUCCUGGCUGUCGUAAUGCCUAAAAAGCAUUGCAUAGCAAGGGCCGGGCAAGACCGGUGCCAGCCGCCGCGGUAACACCGGCGGCUCGAGUGGUAACCGCUAUUAUUGGGUCUAAAGGGUCUGUAGCCGGCUGACUAAGUCUCUUGGGAAAUCUGGCAGCUUAACUGUCAGGCUUUCAGGAGAUACUGAUCGGCUCGAGACCGGGAGAGGUGAGAGGUACCUCAGGGGUAGGGGUGAAAUCUUGUAAUCCUUGAGGGACCACCAGUGGCGAAGGCGUCUCACCAGAACGGAUCUGACGGCAAGGGACGAAAGCUAGGGGCACGAACCGGAUUAGAUACCCGGGUAGUCCUAGCCGUAAACGAUACUCGCUAGGUGUCGGCCACGGUGCGACCG
rnacentral:rRNA from 1 species